AACGCAAAUGGCGCUCUCGGGAUAGGCCUGGGAGCACGCCUCUUUGAGUGUCGAUUCAAUCAAACUCAGCGACCUGCUCUUUAUUGCAGUGGGCGCAGCUGAACAUUGAGUGUCUCACUGUAACUGGUGAGUCACUUUAAGCGGAGCGAGUCUCCUUUUUCCCUAGCAAUUGCCUGGAGUCGAAAGGCUCCUUGCAUAGCCUCGGUGAGAGUUUUGCCCUACGCAAACUCGUGCCUGCUAGUGAUGCGGAUAAUCACAUUUACUGUGUUUCCAUCAUGACUGGUAGGGGCGUGGUUUUCUUUGGCAAACGGCUUUAGUGUCCAGCUCUUCCUUGUGCGACAAAGGCCUGGGAUUCUGUGAAAGACAGAUCGGACUGUGCGGUCAAACGCGAACCAGUUCAAACUAAACCUUUUUGACUUAGACCUCAAAUGAAGCGAGACAACCCGCUGAACUUAA
rnacentral:misc_RNA from 1 species